rnacentral:rRNA from 1 species
UAGCUGGGGGAAACUCCAGGUAAUACUCGAUAAGCUCUACGGAGGAAAGCUCCGGCGCCUUGGGAGCGGCGAUACUCCUAUCAGGUAGUUGGUGGGGUAAAGGCCUACCAAGCCAAAGACGGGUAGCGGGUGUGAGAGCAUGACCCGCAGCAUCGGGACUGAGACACUGCCCGGACUCCUACGGGAGGCUGCAGUAACGAAUCUUCCGCAAUGCGCGAAAGCGUGACGGAGCAAUGCCGCGUGUGGGAUGAAGCGGUUUCGCCGCGUAAACCACUGUCAGGUCCUAGGAAGAACUGACCGGGACCAGAGGAAGGGCCGGCUAAUCUCGUGCCAGCAGCCGCGGUAAGACGAGAGGCCCGAGCGUUAAUCAGAAUCACUGGGCUUAAAGGGUGCGUAGGCGGACUUGUAAGUGUCCUGUGAAAUCCCACGGCUCAACCGUGGAAUUGCGGGGCAAACUGUAAGUCUUGAGGCAGGUAGAGGUCGUCGGAACGUUCGGUGGAGCGGUGAAAUGCGUAGAUAUCGAACGGAACGCCGAAGGAGAAGUCAGACGACUGGGCCUGUCCUGACGCUCAGGCACGAAAGCGUGGGGAUCAAACAGGAUUAGAUACCCUGGUAGUCCACGCCGUAAACGAUGUGCAACUAGACUGUUGGGGCUUUUGACGGCUUUACGGUCGCGCAGCUAACUUGUUAAGUUGACCGCCUGGGGAGUACGGUCGCAAGAUUAAAACUCAAAGGAAUUGACGGGGACCCGCACAAGCGGUGGAUGAUGUGGAUUAAUUCGAUGCAACGCGAAAAACCUUACCUACCCUUGACAUGCCUGGAAGUCUGGUGAGAGCCGGAUGUGCCUUCGGGAGCCAGGACACAGGUGCUGCAUGGCUGUCGUCAGCUCGUGUCGUGAGAUGUUGGGUUAAGUCCCGCAACGAGCGCAACCCUUGUCACUAGUUGCCAUCAUUGAGUUGGGCACUCUAGUGAGACUGCC